AGUUCCGGCGGAGAGAGCCCCUGGAACUUCAGCUUCCUCUGAGCCUUCAGCAGCCAUGUCUCAGCAAGGAGACGACCGCGGUUCCAAUUGCUGCCGUGUGAGUGGCAAGAAGUGGCGCGGUGCGGUUCCCCGCGGUUGGGAGCAGCAGCCAGCAGGCUGCCAGAGAUCCAACCGCGCCUUGCAGCGCACAGAGGGACGCAACAGGGACGGACGGUCCUUCCUGCCAUACAGAAGUGAGUUUCUUCAGCCCUCUGUCGCAAAGUGUGGAGGAAUGAAUUUUGAGUAUUCCUUCUGAGCGGGUGCAGUGCUGUAGGGGAUGUCAAGUAAGCAUCCAUUUGGAGUGCAGGAAGGAGCAGUGCAAAGUGAACUAUCAAUCCGUUUGUGUUUGGGCUGUCAAAGAAGCAUCUUUCUGUUUCCUGGGGGGACGUGGGCUUACUGCAUGAUAUUUCUGCUGCUGCCUGCUGGUGCCUGUGAAAUCAACGUUGU